GUCACAGACCCCUUCCUGGGAGGCGUCUCAUGGUGCCUUGUCCUUUUCUCUACUUUCCUGGGGGCUGUGCCAGCCCCAUCCUGGCACUGGAGUCUGGCAGCACAUGGAGGCUCUGGAAGCCCCUGUCCCCGGGGAGGGCCUGUUCCUUUGAGUGCACCCCCCCGACUUUCCUCCCCGACCGCUCUGGGGUGGGGUCACCUGGGGGAGGCUCCGUCCUCUAGCCUACUCUGGGGAUCAGGAGCUGGACUCUAAGCCCAUCUGCUCCAGUCUUUGAACAUCCUCCCGGUGAGAAAGCAAAAGAACAUAAGGAUUCAUGGCUUUGCAGACAGUCUGCACCUCCCACUCCAGGGGAAUCUAAUCCACUCAGGCCAAGGGAGGAAAGAGGAGGCGGCCCGAGGCCACACUGUCCAAGGGGGUCGCCAUCCGACUCUGAAGCCUGGAGACCCUGGAGCCCCAGAGUGAGUCUUCCCGAGGCCGUGACCAGAGCAUGAGUAACAGGGACUGAGGACAUCAAGUUUUUCAGAGAAGGAUCCGUUGUGCUUACAAUAGAACCCUGAAGCCCUUCCUGUUCAGGGCCGGGCCUCUCUGGCCCCACCCCACCCCCAGCUCUGCCUGCUCACCUGGGCCUCACCUGGCCUCUUCUUACCUCCGCCGAACUCGCCAUGGUUGCUUCUGCUCAGGGCCUUUGUACCUCUGUCCCCUCUGCCUGGAGUGUGUUCCUGCCACUUUGCUGGCUGCUGCUUUCUUCUCGUGGAGAUGUCAGCUCAGCCAUCACCACAGACGUGACUUCCUUGCCUGCCACACCUACUGUCACCAUCUUCCACUCCCAGUAUCUGAGGCUUCCUUUCGAACACCACUUCCCGCCCCAGUUAUAUGGUUUGUGAUGGUUUAUCUGUUUGCUCUGUUGUCUGUGUCCUCUCCCCCAGACUGAGAAGAGACCUGCCUGUUUCUUAUGCUGAUGUCUCUAACACUUAAUAAAGAGCCAUUCACAGAGGUAGAGGAGGAUGCUAGAGACAGUAAGGCAGGGGCAGGGCUGGAUCUCUGGGAAUCUCUCUGGCCAGCGGCCUUGUGGAUUCAGAGGGGCCUUCUGUGUCCAGCUCAGAAAACAGAGACCCAGGAUCCAUGUGAAAGGGAGGAUCUUCCUGGUCAGGAGUUGGCGGGUCCCCUGCAGCCUCUGAGGCCACUCUGCUCAGGGUAGGGGCUGACGUCUGCAUCUGCUGACUUCCACGGACCUUAUCUUCAGACCGGCCUCUUCGGAGGGGCAGC
rnacentral:lncRNA from 1 species